AACAGGUCGCAUUUUGAGAGCUCAGGGUUUCCUUGCUCCUUGGACAGCCAGGUCAAGACCCUCGGUGGCUACUCCUGGUUGUCAACUAUAUCUGGAAUGAACUACCAUCCAGAAUUGGAAGGCUCACCUGUGAUCCAGAUUUUGAGGCUGGGAGAGACAAGUUUCUGACCUGGAUCUUGGCAUGGAGAUCUUGAGGCAGAGUGGCUGUGAAUCCCAGGAGACUAAGGCAAGGAGAUCUCUGAGUUCAAGGUCAUCUGGGACAAAGCAAGUCCUAGAUCCAGGUGUGAUGACACACACCUUUGAUCCGGGCCACACCUUCUGGGAGACCUACAUAAGGACGUUGGCAGGGGGAUUCACUCUUCUACUUGCCUUGUCAACCUUGGACUUCCAUUCACAGCUGACCAUUGUUUGGGAGUUGGACUAGACUGUAAGUCACCAUAACAAAUUCCCUUAGAGCCGACCCAUAAGUUCUGUGACACUAGAGAACUCUGAUUGAUACACCCAUAUCCAACAGGGCUUCCUUCUGCCUGGACUUGCUCUCCCUUGUUCUCCCUCCACAAUACAUACUUUCUCUGUGAGGGCUCGGACAGACAGGUUAUAUUAGUCUCGGAGGACUCCCUGGUACACAGAACUCUCAAAAUAAUCUGUUGCUUAAGAACUACUGCACUCUCUGUCCCUCCCUCCCCACCCCUCACAGCUUGUCCCUCCCUUCUGUAUCAUCCACACUUUGAGAAACCAGAAUCUAGUAGCAGAUGGGAUGUGAAUCAGAAAAGAAGGCAGAAUCAGAAAGAGAGGAAGCUCUGCCAAUUGAUGGGGGGAAAAAAAACCCCAAAGACAAAAAACAACAGCAACAGAAAAAAAAAAAAAAGAACCCUGAGA